CAGCAUGUUUCCAAGGGCUGUGGCCCAUCGUGGCCAUGGGCUCCCCAACCACAUGCAGGAGCAGCCUGGAGAGACUUUGACAGCACAAGUCAGCCUAUACCUGCAACUGCCACUCACCUUGCCUAGAACA